UGCGGUCCACGGAUCCAAUUCCCGGCCCACACCUAGGUGAGGGUGGU
rnacentral:rRNA from 1 species